rnacentral:rRNA from 1 species
GGAAUCUUCCACAAUGGACGAAAGUCUGAUGGAGCAACGCCGCGUGAGUGAAGAAGGUCUUCGGAUCGUAAAGCUCUGUUGUUGGUGAAGAAGGAUAGAGGCAGUAACUGGUCUUUAUUUGACGGUAAUCAACCAGAAAGUCACGGCUAACUACGUGCCAG